CUAUUGAAGAAAAGCAAAUCGAUUUGAACUAUACGAUUGUGAACAUCGGGUGUCAUCAGUCAGGUGACUACAAGUGUGAGGUGAACAACGGGCUGGGAAACGACAGUCAGACUGUCAGACUGCUAGUCUUGUGUGCUCCCAAAACAGAGAAUCAAGGUCAGCUUCCAUAUGUUGACAUCAGUAACAAUAAAGGACAUCUCAGUAUUAAGAUGACAUCCUACCCCACGCCAUACGUUACAAGUGUGACUUACAAACCUGUCGACGGUAAAGUCAGUCCACACACCUCGUUAUUAAACAACAAACUACACGUGACGUGUAUGUCCAUGCCUGUUGCCCCAGCCUCGGUGACCUGUGACCUCAGUGUGGCUAAUGUCACUCCGGCUGAUAAAGGCCUUUACACGAUGGUCUUCAGCAACAGUCUUGGCAACACAUCUUUCAAUUUCUUACUUACAUUUAAAGGUGUGUUUAUGCCUUUAGACAUGUCAUGAUGGUACAUGCGAGCGAAACAGUAACAAACGCAAAAAUCCUCUAAUUUUAUACACAAACAUUGAAUGUGUCACAUUAUCCAUUAUACAGUUUCCAUGUCAUGUACAAACCUUCACUCAUUUAUACUGUCCAGUCGUGCGUUCCAUGUAUUGGUGAACCUGUAAUGAGGGUCACAUUCGUCAUUUUUUGUUCCUGAUUUGAUUUUUGGGAGGACUAUGCAUGGACGUAAGCUCUAAAACAGCUUUAG